rnacentral:rRNA from 1 species
UACGUAGGGUGCGAGCGUUAAUCGGAAUUACUGGGCGUAAAGCGUGCGCAGGCGGUUUUGUAAGUCAGAUGUGAAAAUCCCCCGGGCUUAACCUGGGAACUGCAUUUGUGACUGGCGGGCUAGAGUAUGGCAGAGGGGGGGUAGAAUUCCACGUGUAGCAGUGAAAUGCGUAGAGAUGUGGAGGAAUACCGAUGGCGAAGGCAGCCCCCUGGGCCCAAUACUGACGCUCAUG